rnacentral:rRNA from 1 species
GACAGAGGAUGCAAGCGUUAUCCGGAAUGAUUGGGCGUAAAGCGUCUGUAGGUGGCUUUUUAAGUCCGCCGUCAAAUCCCCAGGGCUCAACCCUGGACAGGCGGUGGAAACUACCAAGCUGGAGUACGGUAGGGGCAGAGGGAAUUUCCGGUGGAGCGGUGAAAUGCGCAGAUAUCAGGGAGGAACACCGGUGGCGAAGGCGGGUCUCUGGGCAACAACUGACGCUGAGGAGCGAAAGCGUGGGGAGCGAACAGG